CCUCAAGCCCAAGCUAGUUUGGG
rnacentral:snRNA from 1 species